GUGAAGUUCUGGGUUGUUUCCUCAAGACCAUGUCAGAUCUGAGGCCCAGAAAACCUUCUGCAUUGUCUCUGUCUUUCARCCUGAGCUGGAGAUAAAACAGCCUGUGUGACGCCAGCUCUGGAGUGAAUUUUGAUGGUUGAGUUGAAAACAGUGCUUGGAUGAAAAGGAGUCUAUAAUGGAAACCAUGCAGGAACUUUAACACCAGCAGCAGCGCCAGCAGAGAGCUCGCAGUAAUCAUGUGCCACAACCCGUGGAGUAUUUAGAAUACACCUUUGCUGCUCAAGGUAAGGUCAGAGAUGAGCAGAUU